rnacentral:rRNA from 1 species
AAUGUCUGGGAAACUGCCUGAUGGAGGGGGAUAACUACUGGAAACGGUGGCUAAUACCGCAUAACGUCGCAAGACCAAAGAGGGGGACCUUCGGGCCUCUUGCCAUCAGAUGUGCCCAGAUGGGAUUAGCUAGUUGGUGAGGUAACGGCUCACCAAGGCGACGAUCCCUAGCUGGUCUGAGAGGAUGACCAGCCACACUGGAACUGAGACACGGUCCAGACUCCUACGGGAGGCAGCAGUGGGGAAUAUUGCACAAUGGGCGCAAGCCUGAUGCAGCCAUGCCGCGUGUAUGAAGAAGGCCUUCGGGUUGUAAAGUACUUUCAGCGGGGAGGAAGGUGUUGUGGUUAAUAACCGCAGCAAUUGACGUUACCCGCAGAAGAAGCACCGGCUAACUCCGUGCCAGCAGCCGCGGUAAUACGGAGGGUGCAAGCGUUAAUCGGAAUUACUGGGCGUAAAGCGCACGCAGGCGGUCUGUCAAGUCGGAUGUGAAAUCCCCGGGCUCAACCUGGGAACUGCAUUCGAAACUGGCAGGCUUGAGUCUUGUAGAGGGGGGUAGAAUUCCAGG